rnacentral:rRNA from 1 species
GACGAACGCUGGCGGCGUGCCUAAUACAUGCAAGUUGAGCGCAAAAGGCCGGUACUUGUGCCAACUGGGUGAGCAGAACACGGGUGAGUAACGCGAGGGGAAUCUGCCUUUGAGCGGGGGACAACAAUUGGAAACGAAUGAUAAUACCGCAUAAAAACUUUAAACACAAGGGGUAAGGGUGAAAGAUGCAAGUGCAUGACUCAAAGGUGAUCCAGCGGCUUUUUAGCUUGUUGGUGAGGUAAAGGCGCACCGAGGCGUUGACACGUAGCCGACCUGAGAGGGUGAGCGGCCACAUUGGGACUGUGACACGCCCCAUUCGCCUACGGGAACGAGCAGUAGUGAAUCUGCGGCCAGGAGCGGAAGUCUGACCGAGCAAGGCCGAAGGCGUGAACAGGGUUGUCGGGUCGUAAAACUCGGUUGGUGGAGAAGAACGUUGGUGAGCGUGGAAAGCUGAUCAAGUGACGGUAACGACCCAGAAAGGAACGGCUAACUACGUG